GGCGGGGCCGUCCCCGCGCCCCCUGCAGGCGCCCGGCCGGGGGCGAGCCCGCCGAGCCCCACCGAGCCUGGCCGUCCCACCCCCGGCGCGCCCGGCGCGGUCUGGCGGGCCCGGAGGAGGCUGCGAGCGCGCCGCCCGCGGGGCUUCUCAGAGGCGGGGCGGCGGCGGGGCAGGCCCGAGCCGGGCUCCCGCGGCCGGGGUGGGAGGAGGAGAGGCCGCGCGGCGCGGGUGAGUGCCCAGGACUGAUGGUAGCCACCUUCUAACCACAAGAAGAGUCAGUCUGAAGAAAACAGAGGAUGGCAGAGUUCAAAGAAGAGCAGAGAAAUAGAUCUCCAGCUCCAAUGGUGUACAUUGAGGAAUCUGUCCUCUCCGACAGACAAGAUUCCCCAGCACACAUCCAACAGUGAUGCUCCCUGCCAAGGAAACAAUCUGCUUGAUUCUCAUCCAGGAGCACUGAGAGGAGGGGGGCCGCCUUUAUGUCCUCUCCUAUCUUCGUCAAGCCAUAUGCAACUGGCAGCCACCACACUUCUCUCUGUGGGAAGAGGAUAAUCAGAGCUGGAUUCCUGAAUGAAAGGAGGAACAUGCAGAGUCGCCUGCCUCCCGUCCAAUGGUAGUGGAAUCCUUGUGGCCUGACUCAGUCCGGAGCUCGUCUGAAGUCCGUGGCUUUUAGGGACCGGGAUGGGCUCUCAGAUUCAGAGUUAGAGGGACCUGGGUUCAAGUCUCGCCUUUUGGGCCUCUGCUCUCUUAGGGUAAAUGAGGAUAACAAUACUGUCCUCUCAGAGGUAUUGUGGGGAGGAUUACCCAUCCCACAGUGUCACACGUAUGUUCAUCAAUGAUCUGAGGGCUGGCAAGAUAUACUCUCUAAUUUCUUUCAAGAGCAGAAAAUGGUGUUCCUGGACGACAGAAGAGAUAUUGACAAUGUGAUAGGAACUAACGAUUCAGGAGGAUUGAGAUGCCCUUCUAUUCUCCCAUUCCAUUAAGCUUCUCCAACAGAGAGAAGGGGCAGGGAAUUAAAACUCUUCCAUUGCUCUGGUAGCUUUGGGGAGUAAAAGACAUGUGUGUAUACUAAAGUGUGGGAGGGCACCCAAAUGUCAACUAAUUUCAUACACAGAAUGGCUAAAAGAAAUAGAGAAAUUUUUUUCAUCAUAAUAUACCUUGUACCAUGGAGGUACAGAGCUUAGAGAAAUCCACUUCAGUACUUUUUUUAAAGGAAAUAUAAUAGCCAGAAAAAUAUAGACCUACUGGACGUAAGGGCAAAGAUAGUGCAAAUAUAUGUGUAUGGUAAGGUUAUACUGUUACAAAGAUGGGGCAACCAGUUAGGCUCUGAGCUUCCAGUAGGCCAAAGCAGAAAGGGAAAUAUUAUGUUACCAAAUGUAUAGCUUUCAUGAGGAACCCCCUACUGCUACCAGUUCCUCAUCCUUUUUUAUCAUAAGAUUCAUAAGCAUGGAUAAUUAUCUUCAGGAAGAGAAUACUUAGGGAGUUUCACUACGGCCUCUUUCAAGUAUUUGAUGGGCUGCCAAGUACAAAAAGGAAAGAUUGCUUUGGGUAAUUCCAAACCACAAAACUAGAAUCAAUGAGUGUAAGUUAAAGGGAACAGAUUUUGGUUAAAAAUAAAGAACUUUCUAACAAUUAGAGUUGUCCAUAAAUGGAAUGAGCUGUCUGGCAAAGAAGUGAGCUCCCUGUUACUGGAAGUGAUCAAACAGAGGCUGGCUAACCAUCUGUUAAGGAUAAAAAGGAUUUGUACAUAAUGAGAGAAUUAUGCAACAACAUAAUACAAGGCUCUUCAUGACAGUUUUAUUUAUAAUAGUAGGGAAAAAAAUAGAAUCAACCUAAAUGUCCAACAAUGGGGGAUUAGAUUAUUAUGGUACUCUCAUAUGACUUACUUUUUUUACAGAUUUUACAGAUGUUAAAAAAUCAAUAAAAUGAUGACAUGGGAAAUGCUUAUAAUCUGUUACUAAGUGGGAAAAACAGGCUACUGUAGCAUAUAUAUUGUGAAGCCAUUUUGUAAAAAAAAAUAUUUGUAUAUGGAAGAAUAACACUAAAAUGUACAUACGUGAAAACAUUGAUAGUGAUUACCAUUAGUGUUUGAAUUAUGGGUGAUUUUCCUCUGGGCUUCUCAGGGUUUUCCAAGUUUUCUAUGCUGAGCACUUACCACUUACAUAACUAGGGGGAAAAAAAGUAAGAAGAAAAAAAACUCCCAGGAGUCUCUUAUUAGCUAGUAGCUUCAAUUAGAUGAUCCCUAUAGUUUUUCAAACCUAAGAUUUUAUGUUUUUUAUUUUAAACUUAGGUUGACUGUUUUUCUCAUAAGAUAACUUACCUUUUAAAAAGGUUUUAAUCAAAUAUAAACCCUCCCACCAAAAAAAGGUUAGCUUAAAUUAUAAAGUGUUUGGUAAAAAUCAAAUGUGUUUCUGAUUGCUCUGGUCAUUUUCACAGUCUCUUGAAGAUACAUGGGAUAUAAAUGUAAAAGUCUGCCGAAUAGAAUAGAAAGAACUUACGAAUUGGAAUCAGACACCGCUGGGUCUCAAGUCUUGGCUCCACUACAAACCAGCCUUAGUUUCCUCAACUUGAAUAUGGGAUAAUAAUAAUAAUAGCUAAGAUUUGUAGAACACCCUCAACGUGCCAGGCACUGAUUAAGUGCUUUACAUGCAAUGGAAUCUUCAAUAAAAUCCUCCGAGGUGAAUUCUGUUCUCCUUAUUUUUCAGAUGAUAAAACUAAAGCACAGAGAAUUUCCAUAGCUUGCCAAGAUCUGAUAGCUCUAAGCGAUGGAGUACAAAUUCAACCUCAGGCCAUCUAACCUUAGGAACCAUGGUGUUAACUACUAUACUAUACUGCCUUAUAGAGUUGUGGAAGGAUUAAUUAAAUUAACAUACAUAAAGUGCUUAGCAGAAAAACAGGCAGUCAGUGUGCUCGGUUUCUCCCUAAACUUUUCCAUAGCUAUUUGGCCCCAGAAAGACUUCUGAUUGUCUUCUCCAAGAAUGCAUUCAACGAACACACUGGAGAAAUGCAGCUCUGUGGUAGGUAGUCUUAUAACAAGUUCAUUAUCAGUGGCAUUCAUGUCAAACUGAAAGAUAUUAGAAAUCAUGUCCCACAGGAUUCCAUUCUGGGGCUGAUUCUUUAAUAUUUCAUCAAUGAUUUACAUGGAUAGAACAGAAAAUAAGCUCCUAAAGCUGACAGAUGAUACAUGCUGUUAGCAGAUGACACCCAUCGUCAGUUAGAAGGGCUAGCAUCCAGGACAGGAUUAGAAUUCCAAAUGGUCUGGCAAGAUGGAGAAGAGGUGGAGGCAAAAAGAAUGAACUUCAUUAGCAACUAGCACAGAGUAAUACAUUUAUUAAGAGGGAAAACAUUAUAUCGGCAUAGCAAGGGCAGUGACUAGGAGUGAAUAAUUGUUGCUAGAAUGAGUUAAUGGUUAAAGUUGCUCAUAAGCUGGAAAUGAGACACAAAGUCAAGUACGGUUCUGGAAAUGUACUGAAAAAAUAAGACUAUGGUGGAGUAAAUCAAUUUCCCCCAUUAUAUACCAUAUUUUAAACACUCUUUCGAGUUCGAUUUUUUUUCCUUCAAUAUUGUUCUGGACAUCUUGGAAAAAGUAUCCGAAAAGCAAAAGAAAUUUUUACAAUUACAAAACACAACCUGAGGGAAUAGCGAAGGAACUGAGAUCUUUUAGUUGAAGAAGACAAGUCAAUUGCUGACAAUUGAUUUAAAAAUUGCUUACAGAGCAGCAUCUAUGUCCCAGCCUUUGUGCUGGGUGCUGGGAGACAGAGAGAAUCAAGAUCUGGUUUCUGCCCUUGAGAAGCUCAGAGACAAGAGGAUAAUCGCUUUUAAGUUUAUAGACUGUUAUUUAGAACUCUGAUGUUUGCAUCAUUCCUGGCUAACUCCUAUGCAUCUUUUUCUUUUAUUUCCUCUUUCUUCCCUCAUUUCCUCUUCUUUUCUUUUUUCCUUCUCUUCCUAGAUGUUAGAUCUGUGACAGGAGCCCACCAGCAUGGCAGGUUGGCUAGGUAUAUUCAAUAGGGUCUCAUCUGAGACUUGGCCAGGAUACGAAGCCCUUCUCCUCUUACAUUUCGAAAUAUUUCUAUAAAUGUAUCUUUCAUCCUCCAUACACUUCCAAUACAAUUGCAGGUGAUGAAGCAAGCCUGGGAGAGAGAAAAGUAGGUUCCCGGAUGCAAAUAGAUCAGUUUGGCUGGGGAGAAUGCUAGAGUAGAUAUAUUAUGAAUCUUAUAAUAUUAAGGAAUUUGAACUUUCUCUUAGUGAUGACAGAAAGUCAAUGAAAGUUUGUGAGAAAGGGAGUGACAAGAUCAACUUGGGUUUUUAGGAAGAGUAACCUUAUUGUGGUAGACAGAAUGGGUUGUAGGGGGACAGGCUGGAGGAGGAGCCUUGUUAGGAGGUGAUCAUUAAGGAAUAAAAAAUGACCAGAAUUAGAUAAUAGAGUUAAAAGAGACAGAAGAUAUGUGGACUUGAGAGACACUAUAAAAGAAAAAUCAUUAAAAAUUUGAUGCCUAAGUAAAUAUGAGCAUCAAGAGAGGGAGAGGAUUUGAAAACAACUCCUAGAUAGUAGACAAGGAGUUUGGGAAAUGAAAAGGUACCAAAAUGAGGCAGUGAGAAGGUGAAGAUGGUUUGUGGCAAGGGAAUCAUGAUGGGUUUGGGGCCAGACAGGUUGUCUUUGUGUUGAUAGAAUAUAUAAAUAAAAACCAUAUAUCCAACAGGGAGCUAAGAAUAGAUUUUCUAUAAGAUCAUCCUCAGGGGCGCCUGGGUGGCUCAGUCGUUAAGCGUCUGCCUCUGGCU